GAUGCCUCAUGGCAUUGGCUCUUCUUAAGGGUGAUUUCUGUGACUUGCGGAACAAGCUCCAAACUUUUAUGCAGCUGGAGCAGCAGAUCGCGUCCUUGUUUAUUAUGUAGCAGUAAUCAAAGGAAAAAGAGCAUAACCUCGUGAGAUUCCUGGCAUGAUGGUGUGUAUGUAUCUCUGAAGUGACUCUGUUGUGUUGGGCUUUGGACGAGCACACAGAAUCACACCGUGAUUCUUGCUUCAGAAGUCGGGGCUCACCAACACCGUGGAAUGGAACUUGUUGUCUUUUCUAUCGAAUUAUAUAUCUGUUAACUCUAGUUAUCUAUGUUUCAUUGAUGGCCCAUAGGCUGUGCGUAAACUCUAUACCUAGUUGGUUGUUUGGUUGGUGGUUGCGGACUUGGUUAUGUUGUGUGUUGCUGGUUCUUUUUAUCAUCUUAUGAAAUAUUGGUGCCUCCCUUUGGGUGAGGAGUUGGUGCCUGUCUUGAGGUC